rnacentral:rRNA from 1 species
UGAGUAACGCGUGGGUAACCUGCCUUAUACAGGGGGAUAACAGUCAGAAAUGGCUGCUAAUACCGCAUAAGCGCACAGAGCUGCAUGGCUCAGUGUGAAAAACUCCGGUGGUAUAAGAUGGACCCGCGUUGGAUUAGCUUGUUGGCGGGGUAACGGCCCACCAAGGCGACGAUCCAUAGCCGGCCUGAGAGGGUGAACGGCCACAUUGGGACUGAGACACGGCCCAGACUCCUACGGGAGGCAGCAUG